rnacentral:rRNA from 1 species
AACGAACGCUGGCGGCAUGCCUAACACAUGCAAGUCGAACGAGACCUUCGGGUCUAGUGGCGCACGGCUGCGUAACGCGUGGGAACCUGCCCUUAGGUACGGUAUACCUCCCCGUAAGAGAUGCUAAUACCGGAUAAUGUCUUCGCGCCAAAGAUGUCUUGCCUUUGGAUGGGCGCGCGUUGGAUUCGCUGGUUGGUAGGGUACAAGCCUCCCAAGGCGACGUUCCAUAGCUGGUGUGAGAGGAUGAUAAGCCACACUGGGACUGAGACACGGCCCAGACUCCGACGGAGGGCAGGAGUAGGGAACACUGGACAAGGAGGGAAAGUGUGACCCAGCAAUGCCGCGGAAGUGAUGAAGGGCUUAGGGAUGUACAGCUCUUUGACCCGGGAUGAUAAUGACGGUACCGGGAGAAUAAGCACCGGCUAACUCCGUG